rnacentral:rRNA from 1 species
UUGAACGCUGGCGGCAUGCCUUACACAUGCAAGUCGAACGGUAACAGGUCUUCGGAUGCUGACGAGUGGCGAACGGGUGAGUAAUACAUCGGAACGUGCCCAGUAAUGGGGGAUAGCUCGGCGAAAGCCGGAUUAAUACCGCAUACGCCCUGAGGGGGAAAGUGGGGGACCGCAAGGCCUCACGUUAUUGGAGCGGCCGAUGGCUGAUUAGCUAGUUGGUAGGGUAAAGGCCUACCAAGGCGACGAUCAGUACCUGGGCUGAGAGGACGAUCAGCCACACUGGGACUGAGACACGGCCCAGACUCCUACGGGAGGCAGCAGUGGGGAAUUUUGGACAAUGGGGGAAACCCUGAUCCAGCAAUGCCGCGUGUGCGAAGAAGGCCUUCGGGUUGUAAAGCACUUUUGUCAGGGAACAAAUCCUUUGGGCUAAUACCCUACGGGGAUGACGGGACCUGAAUAAUAAACACCGGCUAACUACGUGCCAUCAGCCGCGGGAAUACGUAAGGUGCAAGCGAUAAUCGGAAUUACUGGGCGUAAAGCGUGCGCACGCGGUUGUGUACGACAGGUGUGAAAUCCCCGGGCUUAACCUGGGAAUUGCCUUUGUGACUGCCCUACUAGAGUGUGUCAGAGGGGGGUGGAAUUCCACGUGUAGCAGUGAAAUGCGUAGAUAUGUGGAGGAACACCAAUGGCGAAGGCAGCCCCCUGGGAUAACACUGACGCUCAUGCACGAAAGCGUGGGGAGCAAACAGGAUUAGAUACCCUGGUAGUCCACGCCCUAAACGAUGUCAACUAGUUGUUGGGGAUUUACUUCCUUGGUAACGUAGCUAACGCGUGAAGUUGACCGCCUGGGGAGUACGGCCGCAAGGUUAAAACUCAAAGGAAUUGACGGGGACCCGCACAAGCGGUGGAUGAUGUGGAUUAAUUCGAUGCAACGCGAAAAACCUUACCUACCCUUGACAUGGCGGGAACUUUCCAGAGAUGGAUUGGUGCUCGAAAGAGAACCUGCACACAGGUGCUGCAUGGCUGUCGUCAGCUCGUGUCGUGAGAUGUUGGGUUAAGUCCCGCAACGAGCGCAACCCUUGUCAUUAGUUGAUACGAAAGGGCACUCUAAUGAGACUGCCGGUGACAAACCGGAGGAAGGUGGGGAUGACGUCAAGUCCUCAUGGCCCUUAUGGGUAGGGCUUCACACGUCAUACAAUGGUCGGUACAGAGGGUUGCCAAGCCGCGAGGUGGAGCCAAUCCCAGAAAACCGAUCGUAGUCCGGAUCGCAGUCUGCAACUCGACUGCGUGAAGUCGGAAUCGCUAGUAAUCGCGGAUCAGAAUGCCGCGGUGAAUACGUUCCCGGGUCUUGUACACACCGCCCGUCACACCAUGGGAGUGGGUUCUACCAGAAGUGGAUAGUCUAACCGCAAGGAGGACGGUCACCACGGUAGGA